ensembl:snRNA U6 U6 spliceosomal RNA
GUGGUGGCAGUUACAAACAUGGCACCCAGGGGCAGCACAUAUACUAAAGUUGGAACGAUACAGAGAAGAUUAGCAUGGCCCCUGCGCAAGGAUGGCACACUAAUUUGUGAAGCAUUCCAUGUUUUU